UACGUAGGGUGCAAGCGUUAAUCGGAAUUACUGGGCGUAAAGCGUGCGCAGGCGGUUUUGUAAGUCUGAUGUGAAAUCCCCGGGCUCAACCUGGGAAUUGCGAUGAAGACUGCAAGGCUAGAAUCUGGCAGAGGGGGGUAGAAUUCCACGUGUAGCAGUGAAAUGCGUAGAGAUGUGGAGGAACACCGAUGGCGAAGGCAGCCCCCUGGGUCAAGAUUGACGCUCAUGCACGAAAGCGUGGGGAGCAAACAGG
rnacentral:rRNA from 1 species